rnacentral:rRNA from 1 species
AGACGUCUACAUUAGAUACCCCCGUAGUCCCAGCCGUAAACUAUGCGCGUUAGGUGUAUCGGUGACCACGAGUUACCGAGGUGCCGAAGGGAAACCGUGAAACGUGCCGCCUGGGAAGUACGGUCGCAAGGCUGAAACUUAAAGGAAUUGGCGGGGGAGCACAACAACGGGUGGAGCCUGCGGUUUAAAUGGACUCAACGCCGGACAACUCACCGGGAACGACAGCAAUAUGUAGGCCAGGCUGAAGACCUUGCCUGAAUCGCUG